UACGUAGGUGGCAAGCGUUGUCCGGAUUUACUGGGCGUAAAGAGCGCGCAGGCGGUCGAUUAAGUCGAGUGUGAAAGCCCCCGGCUCAACUGGGGAGGGUCACUUGAUACUGGUCGACUCGAAGGCAGGAGAGGGAAGUGGAAUUCCCGGUGUAGUGGUGAAAUGCGUAGAUAUCGGGAGGAACACCAGUGGCGAAGGCGACUUCCUGGCCUGUUCUUGACGCUGAGGCGCGAAGGCGUGGGGAGCGAACGGG
rnacentral:rRNA from 1 species